UUGCAGUCAUAUCAUGUUGAAAGACCGGUUCUCGUCCGAUCAGCGAAGUUAAGCAACGUCGAGCCUAGUCAGUACCCAGAUAGGUAACCGUUGGGGAAUAUCAGGUGAUGCUAG